UCUUCUUUCCACCAUGAUGGCGACCAUGGCGACCGUUAAGUAAACGUGUUGCGAGAUGUUGAGUGCGUUUCGGGUCGUUUAGACUAGAUAGUCAUAAAAAUUUUUGAACAGCAAAAUAACUGUUGCGUUAUGCUGAACGCAAAAAAGUAGUCGACGUUACUGAUAGAAUAAGGAUAGUGCCUUUGCUGUCCAAUGGCUCCUGUUAACUGAUAUCAAGCUGUGUUCAACAGAAGUGUGAUGUAAUACUGACUGGACAAUAUUUGUAGGGCCCACACAAAUGCUGUCCAACUGUUUUUUGGGUCUGUUUUUUCAGACCUUUUUUUUCGGUUUCGGUGGGGUCGUAGAGCCGUUCAUCACACUUGCAAUGCUGAAACACAGCUUUGUAUUGUUUUGUAGCCGAGCCUGUUGAAACUAUUGAAUAAAGAUUUUGAUGAUUAAA